GACGAACGCUGGCGGCGUGCUUAACACAUGCAAGUCGAACGGAAAGGCCCUGCUUUUGUGGGGUGCUCGAGUGGCGAACGGGUGAGUAACACGUGAGUAACCUGCCCUUGACUUUGGGAUAACUUCAGGAAACUGGGGCUAAUACCGGAUAGGAGCUCCUGCUGCAUGGUGGGGGUUGGAAAGUUUCGGCGGGUGGGGAUGGACGGGCGGCUGAUCGGCUAGUUGGUGGGGUAGUGGCUUACCAAGGCUUUGGCGGGUCGGCGGCCGGAGAGGGUGAACGGCCACAAGAGGCCUGAGGGAGGGAGCAGUGGGGAAUGGUAGGCAACGGGCGCGAGCCUGGUACAGUCAUAGCGCGUGGGUGAAGAAGGCCCUCGGUUUGUGAAGACCGUUUGCUGGGUGUGAAACGCAGCCGCUUGAGACGCAGCUGUACUGACGGUACCGGAUGAAGAAGCACCGGCUAACUUCGUG
rnacentral:rRNA from 1 species